rnacentral:rRNA from 1 species
AAAGGUAAGCUACUAAGAGCGAAUGGUGGAUGCCUUGACUGGUAAAGGCGAUGAAGGACGUACUAGACUGCGAUAAGCUACGGGGAGCUGUCAAGAAGCUUUGAUCCGUAGAUUUCCGAAUGGGGCAACCCAAUGUAUAGAGAUAUACAUUACCUAUAUAGGAGCGAACGAGGGGAAUUGAAACAUCUUAGUACCCUCAGGAAAAGAAAUCAAUAGAGAUUGCGUCAGUAGCGGCGAGCGAAAGCGCAAGAGGGCAAACCCAGUGCUUGCACUGGGGGUUGUAGGACUGCAAUGUGCAAGAGGUAAGUUUAGCAGAACAUUCUGGAAAGUAUAACCAUAGAGGGUGAUAGUCCCGUAUGCGAAAAACAAACCUUAGCUAGCAGUAUCCUGAGUAGGGCGGGACACGAGGAAUCCUGUCUGAAUCCGGGUCGACCACGAUCCAACCCUAAAUACUAAUACCAGAUCGAUAGUGCACAAGUACCGUGAGGGAAAGGUGAAAAGAACUGAGGUGAUCAGAGUGAAAUAGAACCUGAAACCAUUUGCUUACAAUCAUUCAGAGCCCUAUGUAGCAAUACAGGGUGAUGGACUGCCUUUUGCAUAAUGAGCCUGCGAGUUGUGGUGUCUGGCAAGGUUAAGCAAACGCGAAGCCGUAGCGAAAGCGAGUCUGAAUAGGGCGCUUAGUCAGAUGCUGCAGACCCGAAACGAAGUGAUCUAUCCAUGAGCAAGUUGAAGCUAGUGUAAGAACUAGUGGAGGACUGAACCCAUAGGCGUUGAAAAGCCCCGGGAUGACUUGUGGAUAGGGGUGAAAGGCCAAUCAAACUUCGUGAUAGCUGGUUCUCUCCGAAAUAUAUUUAGGUAUAGCGUUGUGUCGUAAUAUAAGGGGGUAGAGCACUGAAUGGGCUAGGGCAUACACCAAUGUACCA